GCCCGCAUGGCUCAGUGGUAGAGCGCAUCACUAGUAGUGUUACAACUGACAACACAUGAUGAGGUCGUCAGUUCGAUUCUGGCUGUGGGCA